AUGCGAGGCACAAAGGGCAACUCGUUCGUCUUCCCCGUCCCUCCGGACAUUAAAGGACUGACAGGUCAACAGGGACUAGAAGGACAGAAGGUCAGUGUCACGGUCCAGGCAAGACAACAUGUCCUCCUCACGCUACCAGCGGAGAUGUGGACGGCGUCUGUCUUCACAGGCCGAUGGACCUCGUGGUCAAUUGAUCAUCACAUAUAUGAAAUUAAAAAUAUGGAGAACAAUGUUGUUGGAUUUCAAGGCUGCUGUGGUACCAAGAAGAGUUGUAGUUAAAAAAACAAACAUUUAAACCCUCUGAUUGGCUGUUUGUGUUCCAGGGGCUGAGGGGAGAUCCAGGUGAACUUGGCCUGUCAGGACCACCAGGACCUGCCGGACGUCCUGUACGCUUCAAAUCUCAAACUGUCAAACUUUAUUUUAAAAACAGCAGAAAUUCCCUAAACUCACGUCAGCUGUUUUUUUUUUGUUGUUGUUUGUUUUUAGGGAGGUCCAGGGUUGCCGGGGUUACUGGGAGAGAAGGUCAGUGUGCGGAGAGGCUGAACUGAUCUGAGAGCAGUUCUGUAUCUUCCCAGUUUUACUCAUAAAUAAUCUGGUUCAUAACCAGUGUCAUGAAAAAACAUCACAUUCUCUCGGAAAAGACAAUUUCUUUCAAAUAUGUUGAAUAUGAAAAAUCUCUGAAGUCCCAGUUUCACAACCCUGAGCCACGAAAGUCUGUGAAAUAGAUGAAUAUGAAUAUGUCAUUUUGCUUUCUUCUUUAAAAAUGUUUCAUACAUAAGUUUGAAAGUCAUGUUCAUAUUUAAAAAAUCGAUACAUUACAUUUCAUGACUCUUUCACGAACAGUUGUGGGGGUGAGUUGCAUUUGAUCUUGUUCACAUUCAUCAUUAUAGUAUCUAUAAUAUCUGUCUGUAGUUAACACACAAGGGAUUUUAUUUCCGAAUCAUUGGAGGUUCUGUUUUAUCACGUGACCUCGUUCCGGCGUCAUCUGGUCCUGAUGGCAUCGUGUUUGUGUCUCAGGGUCAGGAGGGGCCUAGUCCAGUGAUCCCAGGGCCCCGAGGACAGACGGUGAGCUCACACUUACGCUGCAAACCAUGUGGAUUGUGAUCUUAGCAACGAUGUGUGAUAAAAAACAGACACUCAAACAUUUGUAAAAUAUCUGCUUCAUCAUCAUCAUCAUCCUCAUCAUCACCAUCAUCAGCUGUGCUUGUAUCUCAGGGUGAUCGUGGACCUCCUGGUAUUCCUGGACAGAAAGGAAUCAAACUGUAUGCUGAAGGACCCAAAGAGCUGAAGGUCUGCCGGCCUGUCUGUCUGUCUGCCUGCCUGCCUGUCUGUCUGUCUGUCUGUCUGUCUGUCUGUCUGUCCAUCUGCCUGUCUGUGUGUCUGUCUGUCUGUCUGUCCAUCUGCCUGUCUGUCUGCCUGUCUGUCUGCCUGUCUGCCCUGUCCAUCUGCCUGUCUGCCUGUCUGUC
rnacentral:lncRNA from 1 species